GCUCGGCGAGGUUUCUUCAGCAUCCUCCAGGUUCACGUGAAGAGAGAAAGAAAGAGAAUGAAAACACAAAGUGAUCACUCAAGUGCCACGUGAUGUACUUCGAACACCGAGAUGGAAUUAUAUCCUUGUAAAUUGCUAUGGCUCAUUCAUCACCUUCUGCUCCUUGAAUCCUUCACCAGCUGCUCAACUGUAGACUAAACAAGCAACGUGGAGCUGAAAAAGAAGUUUGCUAAAGGGCAGCUGCUGCAGCAUUUUGAAGGCAGAGAACAAAGUAUUGGAUACCAUAAGAACCGAUUCUCACAUAUUCACUUGCCUACAAAAAGCAGGGCUUUAAGAGAACACCCUCAAUAUCCUGGGACUCACAAGAGAGACGGCAAGACUGUUCUAGCUGGAGUUCCAGCAGCAUCAGAGGGAAAUCCUUCUGUGUAACAGAUAUCAACCUCUGUUUGGGGCCAGAAGAAUAAGCGCUGAUCAAAGCUGCUUCAUGUUGAGCUGCCCCCAGUUCCCGAUGUUCCCUCCAGAUCGGACAGGAUUCUGCACCCGGCUUUCUAUGUUGAUAUUGAACAACUUCAUAUCAUUUUUGCGCAUAUUGUGGUACCAGGGUAGAGAGCAACCCUGCUUUCUGGAGCCAUCUCGAAUCUCGCUAUACAAAAUAUUCUUGGGGAUAUGGUUUCCUCCUAUUGUCUUGACAUGGCCGAUCCAGGAUGACAUGACCAAGUGAUGGUGAAACUACUCAGGUACUGGAGAGC